GACGUAGGGCGCGUGCGUUGUCCGGAUUUAUUGGGCGUAAAGAGCUCGUAGGCGGCUCAUUGCGUCAACCGUGAAAACCAGCAGCUCAACUGUUGGCUUGCGGUUGAUACGGGUGGGCUGGAGUUCGGUAGGGGAGACUGGAAUUCCUGGUGUAGCGGUGAAAUGCGCAGAUAUCAGGAGGAACACCGGUGGCGAAGGCGGGUCUCUGGGCCGAUACUGACGCUGAGGAGCGAAAGCGUGGGGAGCGAACAGG
rnacentral:rRNA from 1 species